AUACGUAGGGGGCGCGCGUUGUCCGGAAUGACUGGGCGUAAAGGGCGCGUAGGCGGCGGUGUAAGUCAGGAGUGAAAGUCCCGGAUUCAAUGUGGGAAUUGCUUUGGAUACUGCAGUGCUAGAGUGCGGAAGAGGUAAGUGGAAUUCCACGUGUAGCGGUGAAAUGCGUAGCGAUUGGGAGGAACACCAGUGGCGAAGGCGGCUUACUGGGCCGUAACUGACGCUGAGGCGCGAAAGCGUGGGGAGCGAACAGGAUUAGAUACCCUGGUAGUCCACGCGGUAAACGAUGAAUGCUAGGUGUUGCGGGUAUCGACCCCUGCAGUGCCGGAGUAAACACAAUAAGCAUUCCGCCUGGGGAGUACGGCCGCAAGGUUGAAACUCAAAUGAAUUGGCGGGG
rnacentral:rRNA from 1 species